rnacentral:rRNA from 1 species
AUACGUAGGUGACGAGCGUUAUCCGGAAUUAUUGGGUGUAAAGGGUGCGUAGGCGGGCUGUAAAGUCAGAUGUGAAAUACCGGGGCUUAACUCCGGAGCUGCAUUUGAAACUUACGGUCUUGAGUGAAGUAGAGGUAAGCGGAAUUCCCAGUGUAGCGGUGAAAUGCGUAGAUAUUGGGAGGAACACCAGUGGCGAAGGCGGCUUACUGGGCUUUUACUGACGCUGAGGCACGAAAGUGUGGGGAGCAAACAGGAUUAGAUACCCUGGUAGUCCACACCGUAAACGAUGAUUACUAGGUGUAGGGCGGCUGAAACCGUUCUGUGCCGGAGUUAACACAAUAAGUAAUCCACCUGGGGAGUACGGCCGCAAGGUUGAAACUCAAAGGAAUUGACGGGG